GGGCGGUUAGCUCAGUUGGUAGAGCACUCGCCUUACAAGCGAGAGGCCGCCGGUUCGAACCCGGCACCGCCCA
rnacentral:tRNA from 1 species